rnacentral:lncRNA from 1 species
UGGGAGCCUCCUGUAUAGCCGCUAAUUUGAAGAUGAUCAAUGAGACCGCUCUAGAAACCUUCAAAAAGUCCCCAGAUCGCUGAGCCGCCAGGCCUCGCAAGACAGCGAAGCACCAAAAGAUGAGGGUUUUCAGCUGACCCGUC